rnacentral:rRNA from 1 species
UACGUAGGGUGCAAGCGUUGUCCGGAUUUAUUGGGUUUAAAGGGUGCGUAGGCGGACUAUUAAGUCAGUGGUGAAAGCUCUCGGCCUAACCGAGAAAUUGCCAUUGAUACUGAUGGUCUUGAGUACAUUUGAGGCGGGCGGAAUGUGUCAUGUAGCGGUGAAAUGCUUAGAUAUGACACAGAACACCAAUUGCGUAGGCAGCUCGCUAAACUGUAACUGACGCUGAGGCACGAAAGCGUGGGGAGCAAACAGG